rnacentral:rRNA from 1 species
CCUACGGGUGGCAGCAGUGGGGAAUAUUGCACAAUGGGGGAAACCCUGAUGCAGCGACGCCGCGUGAAGGAAGAAGUAUUUCGGUAUGUAAACUUCUAUCAGCAGGGAAGAAAAUGACGGUACCUGACUAAGAAGCCCCGGCUAACUACGUGCCAGCAGCCGCGGUAAUACGUAGGGGGCAAGCGUUAACCGGAUUUACUGGGGGUAAAGGGAGCGUAGGCGGUUUAGCAAGUCAGAAGUGAAAGCCCGGGGCUCAACUCCGGGACUGCUUUUGAAACUGGUGAACUAGAGUGCAGGAGAGGUAAGUGGAAUUCCUGGUGUAGCGGUGAAAUGCGUAGAUAUUAGGAGGAACACCAGUGGCGAAGGCGGCUUACUGGACUGUAAAUGACAUUGAUGCUCGAAAGUGUGGGUAUCAAACAGGAUUAGAUACCCCAGUAGUC